rnacentral:rRNA from 1 species
UACGGGGGGAGCAAGCGUUGUUCGGAUUUACUGGGCGUAAAGGGCGCGUAGGCGGCCAGCACAAGUCAGUUGUGAAAUCUCCGAGCUUAACUCGGAAAGGUCAACUGAUACUGUGCGGCUAGAGUGCAGAAGGGGCAACUGGAAUUCUCGGUGUAGCGGUGAAAUGCGUAGAUAUCGGGAGGAAUACCGAUGGCGAAGGCAGGUCUCUGGGCUGACACUGACGCACAUGCACGAAAGCGUGGGGAGCAAACAGG